rnacentral:rRNA from 1 species
ACAGAGGGUGCAAGCGUUAUCCGGAAUUAUUGGGCGUAAAGGGCGCGAAGGCGGAUAGAUAAGUCAGUUGUGUAAUCCCUGGGCUUAACCUGAGAACGGCAACGCAGACUGGGGCGCUAGAGUGCUGUUGAGGGAGACGGAAUUCCUCGUGUAGCGGUGAAAUGCGUAGAGAUGAGGAGGAACACCAAUGGCGAAGGCAGCCUACUAGACCGUAACUGACGCUCAGGUGCGAAAGUGUGGGGAGCAAACAG